UACGUAGGGGGCUAGCGUUGUCCGGAAUCAUUGGGCGUAAAGCGCGUGUAGGCGGCUCGGUAAGUCCGCUGUGAAAGUCGGGGGCUCAACCCUCGAAUGCCGGUGGAUACUGUCGGGCUAGAGUGCGGAAGAGGCGAGUGGAAUUCCUGGUGUAGCGGUGAAAUGCGCAGAUAUCAGGAGGAACACCAAUUGCGAAGGCGGUUCUCUGGGCCUGACCUGACGCUGAGGAGCGAAAGCGUGGGGAGCGAACAGG
rnacentral:rRNA from 1 species